CCUUGCGGAUGGAGCUGACGAGAGUCGCAGAUACCAGGUGGCUGCAACUGUUUAUUAAAAACACAGCACUGUGCAAAAUCGUAAGAUGACGUAUACGGUGUGACGCCUGCCCGGUGCCGGAAGGUUAAUUGAUGGGGUUAGCGUAAGCGAAGCUCUUGAUCGAAGCCCCGGUAAACGGCGGCCGUAACUAUAACGGUCCUAAGGUAGCGAAAUUCCUUGUCGGGUAAGUUCCGACCUGCACGAAUGGCGUAAUGAUGGCCACGCUGUCUCCACCCGAGACUCAGUGAAAUUGAAAUCGCUGUGAAGAUGCAGUGUACCCGCGGCUAGACGGAAAGACCCCGUGAACCUUUACUACAGCUUGGCACUGAACAUUGAACCUACAUGUGUAGGAUAGGUGGGAGGCUUUGAAGACGUGACGCCAGUUGCGUUGGAGCCGUCCUUGAAAUACCACCCUUGUAUGUUUGAUGUUCUAACGUUGGCCCCUAAUCGGGGUUGCGGACAGUGCCUGGUGGGUAGUUUGACUGGGGCGGUCUCCUCCCAAAGAGUAACGGAGGAGCACGAAGGUGGGCUAAUCACGGUUGGACAUCGUGAGGUUAGUGCAAUGGCAUAAGCCCGCUUAACUGCGAGAAUGACGGUUCGAGCAGGUGCGAAAGCAGGUCAUAGUGAUCCGGUGGUUCUGAAUGGAAGGGCCAUCGCUCAACGGAUAAAAGGUACUCCGGGGAUAACAGGCUGAUACCGCCCAAGAGUUCAUAUCGACGGCGGUGUUUGGCACCUCGAUGUCGGCUCAUCACAUCCUGGGGCUGAAGUCGGUCCCAAGGGUAUGGCUGUUCGCCAUUUAAAGUGGUACGCGAGCUGGGUUUAGAACGUCGUGAGACAGUUCGGUCCCUAUCUGCCGUGGGCGUUGGAAGAUUGAAGGGGGCUGCUCCUAGUACGAGAGGACCGGAGUGGACGAACCUCUGGUGUUCGGGUUGUGUCGCCAGACGCAUUGCCCGGUAGCUAAGUUCGGAAUCGAUAACCGCUGAAAGCAUCUAAGCGGGAAGCGAGCCCUGAGAUGAGUCUUCCCUGAUACUUUAAGUAUCCUGAAGGGUUGUUCGAGACUAGAACGUUGAUAGGCAGGGUGUGUAAGCGCUGUGAGGCGUUGAGCUAACCUGUACUAAUUGCCCGUGAGGCUUAACCAU
rnacentral:rRNA from 1 species